ACUCCUACGGGAGGCAGCAGUGAGGAAUAUUGGUCAAUGGGUGCAAGCCUGAACCAGCCAUCCCGCGUGAAGGAUUAAGGUCCUAUGGAUUGUAAACUUCUUUUGUAUAGGGAUAAACCUACCCUCGUGAGGGGUAGCUGAAGGUACUAUACGAAUAAGCACCGGCUAACUCCGUGCCAGCAGCCGCGGUAAUACGGAGGGUGCAAGCGUUAUCCGGUAUUUAGUUGGGUUUAAAGGGUCCGUAGGCGGACUUAUAAGUCAGUGGUGAAAUCCUGUCGCUUAACGAUAGAACUGCCAUUGAUACUGUAAGUCUUGAGUAUAUUUGAGGUAGCUGGAAUAAGUAGUGUAGCGGUGAAAUGCAUAGAUAUUACUUAGAACACCAAUUGCGAAGGCAGGUUACCAAGAUAUAACUGACGCUGAGGGACGAAAGCGUGGGUAGCGAACAGGAUUAGAUACCCUGGUAGGAUAGCG
rnacentral:rRNA from 1 species